GAUUAACGCUGGCGGCGUGCAUAACACAUGCAAGUCGAACGAUGAAACUCAUUAGAUUUCUUCGGAAUGAAAAUGAAUGGCUUAGUGGCGAACGGGUGAGUAACGCGUGAGUAACCUGCCUUACACAAGGGGAUAGCCUCUGGAAACGGAGAAUAAUACCCUAUGAAACCAGACAAUCGCAUGAUAAUCUGGUCAAAAUGUUUAGUGGUGUAAGAUGGACUUGCGUCUGAUUAGGUAGUUGGUGAGAUAAAAGCUCACCAAGGCAACGAUCAGUAGCCGGCUUGAGAGAGUGUACGGCAACAUUGGGACUGAGACACGGCCCAGACUCCUACGGAAGGCAGCAGUGGGGAAUUUUGCACAAUGGGGGAAACCCUGAUGCAGCGACGCCGCGUGAUUUAGAAGGCCUUCGGGUUGUAAAAAUCUUUUGUAUAGGAAGAAAAUGACAGUACUAUACGAAUAAGGUCCGGCUAAUUACGUG
rnacentral:rRNA from 1 species